GCAAGUCGAACGGAAACGAUGGAAGCUUGCUUCCAGGCGUCGAGUGGCGGACGGGUGCGUAACGCGUGGGAAUCUACCUUAGAGUUGGGGAUAAGCCUUGGAAACAGGGUCUAAUACCGAAUACGGUCUACGGACUAAAGUGUGCCUCUGCUUGCAAGCACACGCUUUAAGAUGAGCCCGCGUCCGAUUAGCUGGUUGGUAGGGUAAAGGCCUACCAAGGCGACGAUCGGUAGCUGGUCUGAGAGGAUGAUC
rnacentral:rRNA from 1 species